rnacentral:rRNA from 1 species
AGAACGAACGCUGGCGGCGUGCCUAACACAUGCAAGUCCAACGUGAAAGGGGAGCAAUCCCCCGGUAGGGUGGCAAACGGGUGAGUAAGACAUGGGUGAUCUACCUUAGGGAUGGGGAUAUCCUUACCGAAAGGAGGGCAAUACCGAAUAUUGUCCGGGGCCAUGGAAGGGGUUACCGGGGAAAGGGGAGGCCUCUGAUACAAGCUUUCGCCUUAAGAUGAGCCCAUGGCCCAUCAGCUAGUUGGUAGGGUAAAGGCCUACCAAGGCUACGACGGGUCGCUGGUCUGAGAGGACGACCAGCCACACUGGCACUGAGAUACGGGCCAGACUCCUACGGGGAGCAGC